UACGAAGGGGGCUAGCGUUGCUCGGAAUGACUGGGCGUAAAGGGCGCGUAGGCGGCUUGCACCGUCAGAUGUGAAAUUCCUGGGCUUAACCUGGGGGCUGCAUUUGAUACGUGUGGGCUUGAGUGCGGAAGAGGGUCGUGGAAUUCCCAGUGUAGAGGUGAAAUUCGUAGAUAUUGGGAAGAACACCGGUGGCGAAGGCGGCGACCUGGUCCGUGACUGACGCUGAGGCGUGAAAGCGUGGGGAGCAAACAGG
rnacentral:rRNA from 1 species